UAAAGAAAGCGUAAUAGCUCACUGGUCGAGUCGGCCUGCGCGGAAGAUGUAACGGGGCUAAACCAUGCACCGAAGCUGCGGCAGCGACACUGUGUGUUGUUGGGUAGGGGAGCGUUCUGUAAGCCUGUGAAGGUGUGUCGUGAGGCAUGCUGGAGGUAUCAGAAGUGCGAAUGCUGACAUAAGUAACGAUAAAGCGGGUGAAAAGCCCGCUCGCCGGAAGACCAAGGGUUCCUGUCCAACGUUAAUCGGGGCAGGGUGAGUCGACCCCUAAGGC
rnacentral:rRNA from 5 species